CCCUGCGGAUAAGCUUAAUUUAGGCUGGCGCAGCGGGGGAAGGACUUCGCCUUUGAAAGGGAAAUUAAAUGCCCAGGCUUCAUUUGAGCGCUAGGACGGUAGGGGAGGGGUCAUAGGAAACAAAUGCGAGCCCGAGUCGUGACAGCAUCCUUCCAGUCAGCCAGUCUCCUUGCCACAGUUCAUGAAGUGACACCAUUUUUACGGCUUCCCCGAAACAAUUUCAGUUAAUUCAAAACAAAAUGUACGUGGGUCUUGAUGGAAAUUCUUCUUUCUCAUCUCUUCGAGAACUUGGGAUUUUGAAUCUGGGAACAUUUUGCUUACUAUUUUAGCUUAGAUCAUUUGGCAAGGUGGAAAGCCUAUGCUUAUGUACAAGCUUUUCACGGAGUACGGAUGACUUGUCUGCCCUAUCCAAGCUUAACUAUCAAGGGAAUGACUUUAAAUUUUGCUGGAUGGAACUGCCACUCACCGCUAGAAAUCGGGGAUCGACAGCAAACUCUGGAUGACCCUGUAACCACAUCUCCAGUUCAGCCCGGCGAGGGGCAUCCUCACCCACGAGCAAAGUACCAUCCACCUUAUUGAUGACAGGGAUCCGGGUCUCCAGGUCCACAUCAAGUGCCUAAAUACUCAGCUUACAUCUUUGAUCUGAACCGUAAACUCUUUCUCAUCCAUGCCUCGGCGAAGUCUGGUGAACUGAGCAGCGGCUGUGGUGACUGCAGACACUUCCUCCUCUGCCAUGGAAGCUGCGCUGCUACUGCGUGGUGUGGGGACUGGAGAGUCACCAUAUUCUCCCGGAGUCAACGAGGGACUGUCCAGCAAGUGGUUGCCUGGCCCCAAAAUUCCUCCUGUUACCACUUCCUGGCUCCGGCGACUAGAAGGCCACUUCCCUGAGAGUACAGCCUGGCAGACGAGGUCAAUACGGUUUAUCAGGACACGAUCCUGAGUAGGGGAAAAAGAAAUCAAUUAGUCAUGUGAUCCUGUGACAAGUAAUAAUGCCAUCAUUAACAAGAUAAGUAAAAAUUAUAUGUCAAAAAUGACGGAGGUAAGAGUAUCAGAUCCCAAAGUCAACUGGUAAGAGCUUCAUGAAAAAACAUGUACCACUAAACAUAAUCAAAGAAACCUAGAACCAUCUACUUGUUCUCUGUGUAUGUCACUCUUUUUAGAAUUUUUUCAUUGGAGGAUAAUUACUUUAUAGUAUUGUGACAGUU